rnacentral:ncRNA from 1 species
GUUGUUGCCAUGGUAAUCCUGCUCAGCAGGACGAAGUGCAGGUUCUGACAUUUGGUGUAUGUGCUUGGCUGAGGAGCCAAUGGGGCCAAGCUACCAUCUGUGGAUGAUGACUGAAUCCUGCCCAGGUGGAACAGU